rnacentral:rRNA from 1 species
CCUACGGGAGGCAGCAGUGAGGAAUAUUGGUCAAUGGGCGCGAGUCUGAACCAGCCAAGUAGCGUGAAGGAUGACUGCCCUACGGGUUGUAAACUUCUUUUAUAAAGGAAUAAAGUGAUGCACGUGUGCGUUUUUGUAUGUACCUUAUGAAUAAGGAUCGGCUAACUCCGUGCCAGCAGCCGCGGUAAUACGGAGGAUCCGAGCGUUAUCCGGAUUUAUUGGGUUUAAAGGGAGCGUAGAUGGAUUGUUAAGUCAGUUGUGAAAGUUUGCGGCUCAACCGUAAAAUUGCAAUUGAUACUGGCAGCCUUGAGUACAGUAGAGGUAGGCGGAAUUCGUGGUGUAGCGGUGAAAUGCUUAGAUAUCACGAAGAACUCCGAUUGCGAAGGCAGCUUACUAGACUGCCACUGACAUUGAUGCUCGAAAGUGUGGGUAUCAAACAGGAUUAGAUACCCUGGUAGUC